GGUGGGAAUCAUCUUAACCAUACCAGCAUCACCCAUAUUAUUGCCCCCUAAUCCACUAGCUCCAGUACUACUUGGCAUUUCAAAAUAAGAACAUGAAGAUCUGACUUCAUCAGCAUAUAAGAAUGAGUUAUUUGAUGAAGGACGUCCACUGUUGCAUGGGUAUCUUGAAUCCGAGUCUGACUGAAGACCAGCUGAUUCUUGCAUCUUUUGUUUAGAGUUGGGCACUUCAGUGAGGGAAUCAACAAUACUAUCUGCAAGCUCAACCAAGAUAUUUUGACCGUUGUUACAACUAUCAAUUCCAUCUUUUAAGCUUAGAUGUCCUAGUCCAGAUUCCACCCUUCUGUCAUCAGUUAAAUUCGUUGGCACUACUCUGGAAACAUCAGAAAUUGUACUUGUUCCAACUCCAGAACCAGAACAUUUUUCUUCAUGAUUUUCUGCCUUGCAAAGAGCACUUUUUGCAAUAAGUGUACAUAAAGCUAGUUCAAACCGUUUCUUUUCGGUAGGGACCCAUAACUCGUCUGAGAUCAGUAGAGCAUUUAGUGUAGGAGCAGAAAGUUUUGGAAGGACCUCUUUCAACUCUAUAGCACCACUUUGACAUAAGUAUCCCCAACAAGCAUUUCUAACUCGUUCACCAUGUAAACCAUAAUCUUGGC
rnacentral:misc_RNA from 1 species